CCGAAUUCGUCGACAACAGAGUUUGAUCCUGGCUCAGGACGAACGCUGGCGGCGUGCCUAAUACAUGCAAGUCGAGCGGACAGAAGGGAGCUUGCUCCCGGAUGUUAGCGGCGGACGGGUGAGUAACACGUGGGUAACCUGCCUGUAAGACUGGGAUAACUCCGGGAAACUGGGGCUAAUACCGGAUGGUUGUUUGAACCGCAUGGUUCAAACAUAAAAGGUGGCUUCGGCUACCACUUACAGAUGGACCCGCGGCGCAUUAGCUAGUUGGUGAGGUAACGGCUCACCAAGGCGACGAUGCGUAGCCGACCUGAGAGGAUGAUCGGCCACACUGGGACUGAGACACGGCCCAGACUCCUACGGGAGGCAGCAGUAGGGAAUCUUCCGCAAUGGACGAAAGUCUGACGGAGCAACGCCGCGUGAGUGAUGAAGGUUUUCGGAUCGUAAAGCUCUGUUGUUAGGGAAGAACAAGUGCAAGAGUAACUGCUUGCACCUUGACGGUACCUAACCAGAAAGCCACGGCUAACUACGUGCCAGCAGCCGCGGUAAUACGUAGGUGGCAAGCGUUGUCCGGAAUUAUUGGGCGUAAAGGGCUCGCAGGCGGUUUCUUAAGUCUGAUGUGAAAGCCCCCGGCUCAACCGGGGAGGGUCAUUGGAAACUGGGAAACUUGAGUGCAGAAGAGGAGAGUGGAAUUCCACGUGUAGCGGUGAAAUGCGUAGAGAUGUGGAGGAACACCA
rnacentral:rRNA from 1 species